AAAAGUCACAAUAUACUUGGCGAAUUGCCAAUACGAAGCUAAAGUGACCAGGGAUUGUUAUUGAUAUCUGUAUUAAUAUAGGGAGGUGACCAUUCUACAUUGAUCCAGUGCGUUUUUAUGGGAUUCGAAACCGUGACUGUGAGAUGUAUGAGAGUUUGACUCAUAGGCGGGCAAUUCUACUUUCACUUUAAACGGAUGGCAGGUGCCUGAGUGUAUCUCGACUCAUUUCCAGGCUAGCAGAUGUCAUGAUGGACCUUUAAAAUCUUUCACAUGUGUACUUUCAAGAACUAUAUACAUUAUUUUUGAAAAUUGGUUGCCAUGGUAAUAAAAUCUGGAAAUUAAAACAUGGGCUCCUGAAGGCGAAAUUUCCUCCAUUUCCUGGUAGUUUGAGACCAAAUUUCAUCGUUUACGAAUCUUAUUUUCCGGAAUAUCCGGUUUUGAAUUUGAAAUUUACAUAGCAGUCACUAUUUCCUCAUUUUAGUCUUCUCGUUGAUUGGUUGAAUCAUUACGAUAUAGCCCAACCAGCAGAAUGAACACCGAUUGUAAACACGUGGGCCUUACAAAAAUGUCCGUAAAAGUAGUACAAAGAGACGCCAAUGAUGUUAAUAAGGCCAUUGCCAAGGUCCAGCUUUUUAAGAAUCUUUGGGUCAAGUGUUGGGAAAUUUGCCUAGGACCUUCGCCUAAAACUGGGUUAGGGAACCAAUACUUACUGGCAUUUUUAUAAAGCUUAAAACCUCAAAACGGGUUCAAAGAAUUCAUUUUCUGGAAAGCUUCUCAUUUGAUGAAAACCUCCUCAGAUAGUGUAAUAUCUUAAUUAAAUCAUGGCUCCUGGGGGAAAGAGGGAGACCGCAGUACUGAUGCAACUCUGGAGAUUAACGUAGGACUAAUCUGAUUAACGUACAUAUAAUUUGAUUUAACUUUUUCAGUCUGAAGAAGACUGCUGUUUAUCCAAGAUUCAGUCUUCGAAGGGGCCCCGUGUGCAACCUGCAGAACUACUUAGUGCUGGAUUAUUUGAAAAUCUUUUCGAUAACAACAAGACUAAAUUGUCUCUGGUUGAUAUAAAUACAUCUUCAUGCAAUGUAGGAUUCUCAUUUUUUAUAAUCGAAUACUUUGGCUUCGCUUUGGACGGAAAGGGAUUCCAAAUUUAUGAUAUUUAAAACUUUAUGAAAACAAUUAGCACAAGCCUCUGGUGCCGACGAUAAGUUGGCUCGAAUACGGAGAAAUCUGUUUUUUAAAGAUUGAUAGAUAUAUCUACUCCGAACUGAUGAAACACUCUGACGAAGACAAUAGAAAAUAGACAGAGAAACUAAUCUCCGAUUGAUCGUCUAUACUCUGAAUAAAAAUACGUCAACACA